UUAAGCGAAUAAGCGUACACGGUGGAUGCCUAGGCAAUCAGAGGCGAUGAAGGACGUGCUAAUCUGCGAUAAGCGUCGGUAAGGUGAUAUGAACCGUUAUACCCGACGAUUUCCGAAUGGGGAAACCCAAUAUCCAAUGGAUAUUAUCAUGACGUGAAUACAUAGCGUCAUGAAGCGAACCGGGAGAACUGAAACAUCUCAGUACCCCGAGGAAAAGAAAUCAACCGAGAUUCCCCUAGUAGCGGCGAGCGAACGGGGAACAGCCCAGAGUCUUAAUCAACAGCAGCAUCAGGAGAACGGUCUGGAAAGUCCGGCAGUAAAGGGUGAUAGCCCCGUAUCUGAAGAUGCUGUUAUUGUGAACUCGACGAGUAGGGCGGGACACGUGUUAUCCUGUCUGAAUAUGGGGGGACCAUCCUCCAAGGCUAAAUACUCCUGAUUGACCGAUAGUGAACCAGUACCGUGAGGGAAAGGCGAAAAGAACCCCGGCGAGGGGAGUGAAAAAGAACCUGAAACCGUGUACGUACAAGCAGUAGGAGCCUCUUUAUGGGGUGACUGCGUACCUUUUGUAUAAUGGGUCAGCGACUUAUAUUCUGUAGCAAGGUUAACCGUAUAGGGGAGCCGUAGGGAAACCGAGUCUUAACUGGGCGAAUGAGUUGCAGGGUAUAGACCCGAAACCCGGUGAUCUAUCCAUGGGCAGGUUGAAGGUUGGGUAACACUAACUGGAGGACCGAACCGACUAAUGUUGAAAAAUUAGCGGAUGACUUGUGGAUGGGGGUGAAAGGCCAAUCAAACCGGGAGAUAGCUGGUUCUCCCCGAAAGCUAUUUAGGUAGCGCCUCGUGAACUCAUCUUCGGGGGUAGAGCACUGUUUCGACUAGGGGGUCAUCCCGACUUACCAACUCGAUGCAAACUGCGAAUACCGAAGAAUGUUAUCACGGGAGACACACGGCGGGUGCUAACGUCCGUCGUGAAGAGGGAAACAACCCAGACCGCCAGCUAAGGUCCCAAAGUCAUGGUUAAGUGGGAAACGAAGUGGGAAGGCUCAGACAGCCAGGAUGUUGGCUUAGAAGCAGCCAUCAUUUAAAGAAAGCGUAAUAGCUCACUGGUCGAGUCGGCCCGCGCGGAAGAUGUAACGGGGCUAAACCAUGCACCGAAGCUGCGGCAGCGACACUAUGUGUUGUUGGGUAGGGGAGCGUUCUGUAAGCCUGCGAAGGUGUACUGUGAGGUAUGCUGGAGGUAUCAGAAGUGCGAAUGCUGACAUAAGUAACGAUAAUGCGGGUGAAAAACCCGCACGCCGGAAGACCAAGGGUUCCUGUCCAACGUUAAUCGGGGCAGGGUGAGUCGACCCCUAAGGCGAGGCUGAAAAGCGUAGUCGAUGGGAAACGGGUUAAUAUUCCCGUACUGGUGGUAACUGCGAUGGGGGAACGGAGAAGGCUAGGUUGUCCGGGCGACGGUCGUCCCGGUUCAAGCAUGUAGGCAGAGUGAUUAGGCAAAUCCGGUCACUUAAUGCUGAGGUGUGAUGACGAGCCACUAAGGUGGUGAAGCAAUUGAUGCCCUGCUUCCAGGAAAAGCCUCUAAGCUUCAGGUUACCAACAAUCGUACCCCAAACCGACACAGGUGGUCAGGUAGAGAAUACUCAGGCGCUUGAGAGAACUCGGGUGAAGGAACUAGGCAAAAUGGUGCCGUAACUUCGGGAGAAGGCACGCUGGCGGUAAGUGAAGUCCCUUGCGGACGGAGCCGAAGCCAGUCGAAGAUACCAGCUGGCUGCAACUGUUUAUUAAAAACACAGCACUGUGCAAACACGAAAGUGGACGUAUACGGUGUGACGCCUGCCCGGUGCUGGAAGGUUAAUUGAUGGGGUUAUCCGUAAGGAGAAGCUCUUGAUCGAAGCCCCAGUAAACGGCGGCCGUAACUAUAACGGUCCUAAGGUAGCGAAAUUCCUUGUCGGUAAGUUCCGACCUGCACGAAUGGCGUAAUGAUGGCCAGGCUGUCUCCACCCGAGACUCAGUGAAAUUGAACUCGCUGUGAAGAUGCAGUGUACCCGCGGCAAGACGGAAAGACCCCGUGAACCUUUACUAUAGCUUGACACUGAACAUUGAGCCUUGAUGUGUAGGAUAGGUGGGAGACUUAGAAGUGUGGACGCCAGUCUGCAUGGAGUCAAC
rnacentral:rRNA from 1 species